rnacentral:lncRNA from 1 species
CUUGAAUCACCUGUGCCCAAGUCAGCUGAGAAGCAACUGGAGUGCUUCUCCCUUUGGACUGCUGUUCUUUGUCCUACAUCAGGCCUUUGCAAGCCACGUCAGAAUGUCCAGUUGUCCUCCUGCUGCUGUGAGGGUUCACUGCCCCCUCUGAAUCAGACACAGCACACAGGGGGAAAAAAAAUGUUGCCAUCCCAACAGCUUGCAGUCAAAAUCAGAGAAGAGAAAAAGCAGAGUGAUAAAACAAGCAGAAGAUAAAAGGUAACUGGGAGGUGAUGAUGUCAACAUGCAGUGAUACUGCAUGUGCUUCAAGAGUUUUUUUAAAAAACUCUGGUGGACAGGUAACUGCCCUAAAAAAAAAAAAAAGCAUCAGAAGAGCACACCUGCUCUCCACAGACCAAGCCACCGCCACAGGUAUCUGUUUAAGUUGCUAAUGAAGUGCACCUGGAUGAGACACCCAGAAGAAAGACAGAGCUGGCACUUGGCUGGGCUCUUCACCUCCAGAGGCCAUUGGAUACUGCAGCAUCAUCCUGGCAGUUCAAUUGGUAACAUAAUGAUGUUAGGUGAUGUUCCGUAUCCCCGAUCUGUAAGGAGAGCUCCUGCCCAGCCAUCCAGCUCUGAUACCUGUUGAAGCUCCAGAGGCAAAUCUCUGAACUUUGUGCAUGGGCCAAGUUAUUACCUGAGACUGGCAAAUUCUAGUCCUCAGUGCUUUGUUUUUCCUGUAACAGGAUGCCAUAUGUAUAUACCAUUAGAAAAGUGAGGGGAAAAAAAAUCAGGUUGAAGACUUCUAACACUAAAAGCACCCUUUCACUAGAAUAAGGAAAUGGGUAAAUAGUGCUUUCCGUAGAGGGGAGGAGAGGGGGGGAGAGAGAAG